ensembl:lncRNA
CUGGAAUAAAGUUGGUUGGACGUUCGAUAUUCGCGGAUAUGCGGAAAUUAAGGGACCGUCUCUAAAGUUACAUACGACAUUGUUAAACACGUUUCUAACUUAAAUAACAUUUAUAGGGAAUGACUUACAGUCACAAGACCAACUGGAAAGUGUUCAUCUAGGUGUUAGCUCAAUAGCAUUUGAAGGGAAUGAAGUACAGUCACAAAACCAGCAAGAAGAGCCCUGGGCGAAGAGAUCACAAACUCAAAGACCAGCAAAGCAUCAUUCAAAGUAUUUUGAUCCACCAGAAGCAGUGCCCCAAACAAAAAGACACAAGACAAAGCAAACAUCUGAGGAUCAUUCAGAGGACACAUCAGCCCAGAAUCUCCAUGCAGCAUCCAGCCAGGUGUUUGUGGUAGGCCCAGCAGGACAUGAUGAAGAAGCAAAAUCCAUGCAUGCAGCCACUAGAUUUCAAGAGUACUUCAAGAUGAGAAGAAACUGUCUCAGUAAAUGUGACUGGGUGGACAUAAAAUGGAAUGGAGGACAAAUUAACCAUUCUACACCUCAGGACUGGUACAGCUGUGGAGUGUUUGUCAUGCAGGUUGGAUUUCCUCAUUAAAUUGUAUGACAUAAAGAAAAACAAAGAGUUUAUCUUAUAAUAAACUCUGACACAGUUCUUGUGAAUUUGUGGAGCAGAAUGUUGAUUUACUUCAGUCUCGUAAGAAACCUGAAGUGUACCUAGACAACAAACCAGAAUGGAGUGGGUAAAUUGAGGCUACACAAAGGAAGGGUCAGAGCAAACUAUAC